rnacentral:rRNA from 1 species
GAUGAACGCUAGCGGCAGGCUUAACACAUGCAAGUCGAGGGGUAGAAGGAGCUUGCUCCUUUGAGACCGGCGCACGGGUGCGUAACGCGUAUGCAAUCUACCUUUUGCAGAGGAUAGCCCAGAGAAAUUUGGAUUAAUACCUCAUAGUAUGUGAGGAUGGCAUCAUUUUCACAUUAAAGUCACAACGGCAAAAGAUGAGCAUGCGUCCCAUUAGCUAGUUGGUAAGGUAACGGCUUACCAAGGCUACGAUGGGUAGGGGUCCUGAGAGGGAGAUCCCCCCANACUGGUACUGAGACACGGACCAGACUCCUACGGGAGGCAGCAGUGAGGAAUAUUGGACAAUGGGCGCAAGCCUGAUCCAGCCAUGCCGCGUGCAGGAUGACGGUCCUAUGGAUGUAAACUGCUUUGUACAGGAAGAAACACUCCCUCGUGAGGGAGCUUGACGGUACUGUAAGAAUAAGGAUCGG